GAUGAACGCUAGCGGCAGGCCUAAUACAUGCAAGUCGAACGGUGUCUUCGGACAUAGUGGCGCACGGGUGCGUAACACGUAUGCAACCUACCUUACAUUGGGGGAUAGCCUUUCGAAAGGGAGAUUAAUACCGCAUAAGACAGUAGCUGGGCAUUCAGCAGCUGUUAAAGAUUUAUCGAUGUAAGCUGGGCAUGCGUCCAAUUAGCUAGUUGGUGAGGUAACGGCUCACCAAGGCAAUGAUUGGUAGGGGAAGUGAGAGGUCAAUCCCCCACACUGGCACUGAGAUACGGGCCAGACUCCUACGGGAGGCAGCAGUAGGGAAUAUUGGGCAAUGGACGCAAGUCUGACCCAGCCAUGCCGCGUGCAGGAUGAAGGCGUUAUGCGUUGUAAACUGCUUUUAUACAGGAAGAAACGACUCUUGCGAGAGGCAUUGACGGUACUGUAUGAAUAAGCACCGGCUAACUCCGUGCCAGCAGCCGCAGUAACAC
rnacentral:rRNA from 1 species